GAAAUGCGAUAAGUAAUGUGAAUUGCAGAAUUCAGUGAAUCAUCGAAUCUUUGAACGCACAUUGCGCCCCCUGGUAUUCCGGGGGGCAUGCCUGUUCGAGCGUCAUUUCACCACUCAAGCCUCGCUUGGUAUUGGGCAACGCGGUCCGCCGCGUGCCUCAAAUCGACCGGCUGGGUCUUCUGUCCCCUAAGUGUUGUGGAAACUAUUCGCUAAAGGGUGUUCGGGAGGCUACGCCGUAAAACAACCCCAUUUCUAAGGUUGACCUCGGAUCAGGUAGGGAUACCCGCUGAACUUAAGC
rnacentral:misc_RNA from 1 species